rnacentral:rRNA from 1 species
CCUACGGGAGGCAGCAGUGGGGAAUUUUGGACAAUGGGCGAAAGCCUGAUCCAGCAAUGCCGCGUGAGUGAAGAAGGCCUUCGGGUUGUAAAGCUCUUUUGUCAGGGAAGAAACGGUGAGAGCUAAUAUCUCUUGCUAAUGACGGUACCCGAAGAAUAAGCACCGGCUAACUACGUGCCAGCAGCCGCGGUAAUACGUAGGGUGCAAGCGUUAAUCGGAAUUACUGGGCGUAAAGCGUGCGCAGGCGGUUUUGUAAGUCUGUCGUGAAAUCCCCGGGCUCAACCUGGGAAUUGCGAUGGAGACUGCAAGGCUAGAAUCUGGCAGAGGGGGGUAGAAUUCCACGUGUAGCAGUGAGAUGCGUAGAGAUGUGGAGGAACACCGAUGGCGAAGGCAGCCCCCUGGGUCAAGAUUGACGCUCAUGCACGAAAGCGUGGGGAGCAAACAGGAUUAGAUACCCUGGUAGUCCACGCCCUAAACGAUGUCUACUAGUUGUCGGGUUUUAAUUAACUUGUAACGCAGCUAACGCGUGAAGUAGACCGCCUGGGGGAGGUACGGUCGCGAGAAGUAAACGUACGAANAGAGUAGACGCGUGAGAGUAGACGACGGACGACGACGAGGGAGGAGG